GACGAACGCUGGCGGCGUGCUUAACACAUGCAAGUCGAACGGAAAGGCCCUGCUUUUGUGGGGUGCUCGAGUGGCGAACGGGUGAGUAACACGUGAGUAACCUGCCCUUGACUUUGGGAUAACCUCAGGAAACUGGGGCUAAUACCGGAUAGGAGCUCCUGCUGCAUGGUGGGGGUUGGAACGUUUCGGCGGUUGGGGAUGGACUCGCGGCUUAUCAGCUUGUUGGUGGGGUAGUGGCUUACCCAGGCUUUGAUGGGUAGCCGGCCUGAGAGGGUGACCGGCCACAUUGGGACUGAGAUACGGCCCAGACGGCUACGGGAGGCAGCAGUGGGGAAUAUGGCACAAUGGGCGGGAGCCUGAGGCAGCAACGCCGCGUGCGGGAUGACGGCCUUCGGGUUGUAAACCGCUUUCGCCUGUGACGAAGCGUGAGUGACGGUAAUGGGUAAAGAAGCACCGGCUAACUACGUG
rnacentral:rRNA from 1 species